rnacentral:tRNA from 2 species
GGGCUCGUGGUUUAGUGGUAUAAUACUCCCUUAGCAUCGCAGACAUGGGAGUGGUCCGGGGUUCGAUUCCCCGCGAGUCCA